rnacentral:rRNA from 1 species
GACGAACGCUGGCGGCGUGCUUAACACAUGCAAGUCGAACGAUGAGCUCCGGCUUGCGGGGGUGUGUAGUGGAGAACGGGUGAGUAAUACAUGAGUAACCUGCCCUUGACUCUGGGAUAAGCCUGGGAAACCGGGUCGAAUACUGGAUACUACUUCCUGCCGCAUGGAGGGGGGUGGAGAGGGUGUUGCUGGUUUUGGAUGGGCUCACGGCCUAUCAGCUUGUUGGUGGAGUAAUGGCUCACCAAGGCGACGACGGGUAGCACGCCUGUGAGGGUGACACGCCACCCUGGCACUGACAGUAGGCACAGACUGCUACGCGGCGCAGCAGUGGGAAAUCUUGCCCAAUGGGCGGCACGUUGUUGCAGCGACGCUGCGUGUGGGAUGACGCCCUUCUUGUUGUAAACCUCUUUCAUCAGGAACGAAGCCCCACGUGACGGUACCUGCAGAAGAAGCCCCGGCUAACUACGUG